AGGAACACGUGAGGAACCUGCCCCGAAGACCGGGAUGACACCGGGAAACCGGUGCUAAUACCGGAUGCCCUCAUCGGAUCUCAUGUUCCGAUGAGGAAAUGGAUUCCGCUUCGGGAUGGCCUCGCGGCCUAUCAGCUUGUUGGUGGGGUAACGGCCCACCAAGGCUUCGACGGGUAGCUGGUCUGAGAGGAUGUCCAGCCACACUGGGACUGAGACACGGCCCAG
rnacentral:rRNA from 1 species